GGAGAGAUGGCUCAGUGGUUAAGAGCACUGGCUGCUCUUCCAGAGGUCCUGAGUUCAAAUCCCAGUAACCACA
rfam:Rattus norvegicus chromosome 2, whole genome shotgun sequence.